rnacentral:rRNA from 1 species
CAGCAGCCGCGGGAAUACGUAGGGUGCGAGCGUUGAUCGGAAUUACUGGGCGUAAAGCGUGCGCAGGCGGUUAUAUAAGACAGAUGUGAAAUCCCCGGGCUCAACCUGGGAAUGGCGCUUGUGACUGCAAAGCUAGAGUGCGGCAGAGGGGGAUGGAAUUCCGCGUGUAGCAGUGAAAUGCGUAGAUAUGCGGAGGAACACCGAUGGCGAAGGCAAUCCCCUGGGCCUGCACUGACGCUCAUGCGCGAAAGCGUGGGGAGCGAACAGGAUUAGAUACCCCAGUAGUCCCUGUCUCUUAUAC